rnacentral:sRNA from 1 species
AAAUUGGGCAUGUCAAAUGUCGCGAAGAAAAAACUUGAUGUCCUAGAUCAAGAGGAAGCAGAAAAUUGAAGACUUCUGAACAGCGGUGGGCUUGGAGAACUUUGAUGCCUUUGUAAAGUAUGUCGACCUCGGAAGUGUUUUUGUUUGGACAUUUCUCUGUAUUGGUGGGCUUCAAACAUCUGAAUGUAAUCACAUGGACUGAAAAUGUUGAUAAUGAGCUCAAUGAUAGAGUUGCAGAGUUUGUGCUUGACAUGUUUUUCUUCCUAGAACUGGGGAGAAGGAAAACAAUGGAACGUGUUUCUAGAAUAGUCAAAAUAUUUGAAGCCAGAGCUCUUUAUACAUGUCAUUUGUCUUGUAUUUAGUUUUAGUGAAGUCACAUUUGGUCAAUUUGUUUUAACUAGGCAGAGAGAAAACAUCAAAUACAUUUGGAUGACUUUUUAGAUGAAUGUUUUUUUUUUCUACAUCAUAUGAUAAUUGUGUGUGGAACCCAGAGCAACUUUUGAAUGACAAUGAUUAACAUGUGUUCAAUUUUAUACAGCUAUCUUUGAAACUAUCCUUUUUUUCUGUUUUUAUUUUAAAUAUAUUUUGAAUAUGUUUUUAAACUUAUAGAUUCUGUUUAUACAUUUUUUUUAUUUAAAAAAAUGAUAAACCUUUUAUUUUCGAUCUGACAGAGAUUCUUUGACUUGUUUGUGUUCUGUGCAUUAAGUUAGCAUACAUACAUUCUAAUCAGAUCUUUGAACAUUAAAUAUUUAAUAUAAUUAA